GUUCAUGUGCUGAAAUUGACAUAUGCUGAAAUUCAGUUUGAGAUUAAUUCACAUAUCAAUUUCGUAAUUUUUUUCUUUGAAUCUGGAUCUAGAAGAGAAGAGAUUUUCUUCUAGUCGUGUAAAUAUCCGACCUCUAUAGGUAUCCACUCGGGAUCAGUCUGGAACAGCCUUCUAGAAUUUGAAUUUUCUUCUCUAAGAAAAUUCAGCAUACUGAAUCUGAACGAAGCCUGGAUCGUAAUCAACACUUGAUCUAUUUACUUGAUCUUCUUCUUCUUCUCUUUUCUAGAUUUUCUCCUUUAUUAUGUGCUGCUAUCAGUAGGUGGAAACCAGCAAACAAGAGGGCCCACAACAGCCCUUGGCGUGAAGAAGAGGGGACGCCCAAGGUGGGGCAUGUGGGAUGCCCAAGGGAGGAGAAGAGAGGGAGAGGAAGAGAGGGCGUGGGGAGGUCUCUUAGGUAUGAGGGGCUGCUGGUUUAGAUG
rnacentral:lncRNA from 1 species